rnacentral:rRNA from 1 species
AUUGAACGCUGGCGGCAGGCCUAACACAUGCAAGUCGAACGAGUGGCGGACGGGUGAGUAAUGUCUGGGAAACUGCCUGAUGGAGGGGGAUAACUACUGGAAACGGUAGCUAAUACCGCAUACCAUCAGAUGUGCCCAGAUGGGAUAAGCUUGUUGGUGGGGUAACGGCUCACCAGGGCGACGCUCCCUAGCUGGUCUGAGAGGAUGACCAGACACACUGGAACGGAGAAACGGUCCAGACGCCUACGGGAGGCAGCAGUGGGGAAUAUUGGACAAGGGGGGCAAGCCUGAUGCAGCCAUGCCGGGUGUAUGAAGAAGGCCUUGGGGUUGUAAAGUACUUUCAGCGGGGAGGCGUUACCCGCAGAAGAAGCACCGGCUAACUCAGUGCCAGCCGCCGCGUAAUAC